UUUAUGAAAUCCAGUGGCAAACGGGUGAGUAACACGUAAACAACCUGCCUUCAGGAUGGGGACAACAGACGGAAACGACUGCUAAUACCGAAUACGAUUCUUGAGUCGCAUGACACAAGAAAGAAAGGGUGGCCUCUACAAGUAAGCUAUCGCCUGAAGAGGGGUUUGCGUCCGAUUAGGUAGUUGGUGAGGUAACGGCCCACCAAGCCGACGAUCGGUAGCCGGUCUGAGAGGAUGAACGGCCACAUUGGAACUGAGACACGGUCCAGACUCCUACGGGAGGCAGCAGUGGGGAAUCUUCCGCAAUGGGCGAAAGCCUGACGGAGCAACGCCGCGUGAGUGAAGACGGCCUUCGGGUUGUAAAACUCUGUGAUUCGGGACGAAAGAUAAGCAGACGAAUAAUCUGCAUAAGUGACGGU
rnacentral:rRNA from 1 species